rnacentral:tRNA from 3 species
CGGGGUGUGGCGCAGUUUGGUAGCGCGCACCGUUCGGGACGGUGAGGUCGUCCGUUCAAAUCGGAUCACCCCGACCA